CACGCUGUAAACGAUGAGUACUAGGUGUCGGGGGUUACCCCCUUCGGUGCCGCAGCUAACGCAUUAAGUACUCCGCCUGGGAAGUACGCUCGCAAGGGUGAAACUCAAAGGAAUUGACGGGGACCCGAACAAGUAGCGGAGCAUGUGGUUUAAUUCGAAGCAACGCGAAGAGCCUUACCUAAGCUUGACAUCCCAAUGACAUCUCCUUAAUCGGAGAGUUCCCU
rnacentral:rRNA from 1 species